CGGGCACAUGCCCCCUCAGCAACCAGUCAGCAAGCAGGGGGGCAGGGGUCCCUUGCGGCCAAUCCCGCUGACCAUGGGGAACCCGAUCCCGCACCAAUCUCACUGACUAGCAAGGGUCCCCCACAGAUGAUCGCGAGGCAGACAAUUGCUCCGGCUGAUCGUUGCAGCUGCUUCCAGAAGUGGCUGUGGCCACUUCUGGGAACGCAACAGCACUCCACUCGUUGGCCAGCGUUUCCAGGGGGGGCACCCCUGUGCUCCCCCUACACGUUGCCACUGGAUGCACCCAAGGGUGCUGAGGGAGUUGGCUGAUGUGAUUGCAGAGCCAUUGGCCACCAUCUUUGAAAACUCAUUGCAAUCAGGAGAGGUCUUGGAUGAUUGGAAAAGGGCAAACAUAGUGCCCAUAUUUUAAAAAGGGAAGGAGGAUCCAGGGAACUACAGAGUAGUCAGCCUCACCUCAGUCCCUGGAAAAAUCAUGGAGCAGAUCCUCAAGGAAUCCAUUUGUAAGCCCUUGGAUGAGAAAUGUGUUAUUAGGAAUAGUCAGCAUGGAUUCACCAAGGGGAAAUCAUGCCUGACAAAUCUGAUUGCCUUCUAUGACAAGGUGGCUAGCUCUAUGGAUGUGGGGAGACUGGUGGAUGUGUUGUACCUUGAUUUUAGCAAGGCUUUUGAUAUGGUCUCCCACAACAUUCUUGCAGGCAAGCUAAGGGAGUAUGUGCUGGAUGAAUGGACUGUAAGGUGGGUAAAAAACUGGCUGCAGCACUGGGCUCAGAAAGUAGUAAUGAAUGGCUCGAUGUCUAGUUGGCAGCUGGUACCAAAUGGAGUACCCCAGGGAUCGGUCCUGGGGUCAGUUUUGUUCAAUUUCUUCAUCAGUGACAUGGAGAAUGGUCAUCAGUGCACCUUCAGCUAGUCUUCAGAUGACACCAAGCUGUGGGGAAUAAUAGGUACAUUGGAGGGUAGGGCUAGGAUUCAGAGGGACCUGGACAAAUUGGAGGAUUGGGGCAAAAGGAAUCUCAUGAGGUUCAACAAGGACAAGUGCAAAGUCCUGCACUUAGGACGGAACAAUCCCAUGCAGUGGUACAGGCUGGGGGCUGACUGGCUGGGCAGCAGCUCUGCAGAAAAGAACCUAGUGGUUACAGUAGACAAUAAGCUGAAUAUGAGUCAGCAGUGUGCCCUUGUUGCCAAGAAGACUAACAGCAUUCUGGGCCGCAUUGGUAGAUGUUGCCAGUAGGUCAAGUGAAGUGAUUAUUUCGCUCUAUUCAGCACUGGUGAGGCCACAUCUGGAGUACUGUGUUCAGUUUUGGGCCUCCGCUACAAAAAAGGAUGUGAACAAAUUGGAGAGUCCAGCAGAGGGCGACAAAAAUGGUGAGGGGGCUGGGAGACAUGAUUUACAAGGAAAGACUGGGGGAACUGGGCUUAUUUAAUCUAGAGAAGAGGAGACUUAAUAGCAGUCUUCAACUACCUUAGGGGGGUUCAAAAAAGGAUAGAGCUAGGCUAUUCUUAGUGGUGGCAGAUGACAGAACAAGGAUCAAUCAUCUCAAGUUGCAGCAAGGGAAGUUUAGGUUAAAUAUUAGUAAAAAUUACCCACCUAGGAGAGUAGUAAAACACAGGUUUGUCACAAGGCAGGCCAGCAUGUUCUGCAUGAGCUGCAGCGUCAAGACAGUUAUCAGGAACAGCCCCUCAAAGCACACUGUAGUAGUUUACCCUCAAGAUUACUAAAGCAUGAACGAUAGUGGCUGGGGUGAAGCUGAAGGAAAGGGACACACCUUUCUCCCCAGGCAGAGCUGAUGAAAGGCACUCCUACCCAGCCCCACCAUCUGAACAUCCAGGUGCAGCAGAGGAUCCAGAAGUAACACAAGACUGCAAACCUGACUGACAAAGGGAGGCUGAUCUCCAUCAGUGAUAGGUCUCAUGCCCCCACCCCAAGUCAUGAGGACUGCCAACCACCAUCACAUCUUUGUCCCCUUUUGGUUCAGCUUCCAUUGCUUUAUCUACAUCCAGUCCUCAGUUGUAGACAGGUGUGAGGGGAAAAGAGUGGGGCAGGGGAAAAGCUCCGAGAAACUUGAACAAAAGGUGCUUACCUCAGGUGCCAAGAGCAGCCAGUCUGGAACAGAGAGCAUGCCUUCGGAGAGCGUGAUACUAUGCUUUCGUAGUGUGUACUCCCUCCAGAUUGGCAGAAGGAGCACAGGAACAGGUAUUCCUGCCCCCAGAGAGGGCCGGUAGAGUGAAGACCACAGUCAGCGGAAUAAGGAGACACCAGAGAUCUAUACUUAUGACACCUGGCAGGCAACUGUGGGGGAACCAAGCCAGUGCACUGGACAAGGUUGUUGGAGGACCACUGAAAAAGCCCAAGACACAAUGAGGAGCCAGCUGGGUGGAGAUUCAAGUGGCAACUAUAGGAAUUCGAAGUCAGAGGAAGUGAAUGAGAGCAGAGAAGCUGCCAGCGAGUCAGGCUGAGAGUUUCAGGGGCCAUGCCUCUUUGAUUUCCAUCUUUAGCCUUGUUUGUUUGUUUGUUUGUUUGUUUGUUUGUUUGUUUGUUUGUUUUGGAGCUGCGUCCUCACCCCCCCACCAAAAAAAAAAAAUCGGGAGGGUAACAGGAGAGAAAACCUUUCCCUGUGAAAACAGUGACUUGGACCCUAAGGAGUUGUGGUCAAGGUAGGAAUUCCUGUAAGGGAGAGGGACCAAUUUAAGUUAUUUUCUGGACCUUAAAGCUACUGAUCUAAACUGGAUGAUUCAUGCAAUGGCUCCUGCUCUGGAUGCCCACCCCAGGAAGGCGAAGUUCUAUGCUCCUAAUCUCCAGCAGAAGAGAGGGUUUUCAAGAUGCAUCGUCAGAAGGCGUAGGGGAGCCCCAGAUGCAUUUGUUUCCUGUAGCAAUACUAGUUUGCCCAAGGACAAAGCCAGGUCACCUGAAUACACUUGACAGGUGACUCCUUUCUCCGCUCCUCCUCACACCACGUGCUUCCAUGGAUAUGGUACAAUCAAAUGUCUAAAUUAUGAGAAGUAGCCAGCAUACAAAAACUACAGACAGAUCAUACGCACCUGAGCCUGAGUUAGCUUUACCCAGUCAGUGACAACUUUAGCCUUACAAAUGGGUGAGGGCACACCAGUUUCAAAUGUACUCAGAAUAUUUUAUCCAAAACCCCAGCUUGGUUUAGCUCAUUGGUCCACUACUGCUUUGCCGCUUUGCUGAGCUACGCAUAUGGAUCACCUCUGACCUGGACUGCUCCAUGUUCACAGUGACAGGGUGUGAUGUAGAUGAUUAAAUGCUUUUUGGUCCAGCUCACGCCUGUCUGUUGCUCUGUUUACACACUACUACUUUGCAGAUGUUCACCUCCACUCUUGCUGCCUCCUGGGCAGGGGGUCAGCUGCAGAGCCCCCAGUGUCAGUGGCCAGCGUCACUUGUAGCUCCAUGUAGAUCCUGGGAACUGACCUUGUUCUACACCUUUGAAAUUGAAAGGAACUUGCAUAGAAUACAGGGACAGCUGUUAUAUAUCUCCUGCUGUGGGCUACAAUACCUGGUAUAAAAGAAAAAAAAAAUACUGAUGUACUCUGAUGCCUACCAGGAAGGGGAAGAAAACUUGGUGCUACCAAGCUUCCACCCAUGUCCUGGUUUGACAUUGUGGAGACUCCAGCUUGCAGGUUCUUUACAGUGACAGCUGGAGGGGGGAGUGACUGUGAUGCCAGCUGUGCCUCCUGGUGGUAUCCCUCAGGGAGCAGACAAGAGAGCCAUAGAAGGUGGCAAGGCUCCAAAGCAUCCUCUGCCAUAAGGACUUGAUUGAUUCAAAACCUGGCUGGAGGACACCUGAACUGUCAGAGACAGUGCUAAAGAAGAAGGAGUACAUGGACUCCCAGAAAGGAGGAAGUUUGUGAACACUGGCAGCAAGCAGAAGUCUUCAUCUCCACCUGCAGCAGCUUUCCUGGAAAACAAAUAUGGAGCCUUAGCAACAGAGGAGGAGGAGCACAUUCCAUUGGUAGAAGAAAUCAGCCCAGGCAUCCCCAAGGUUGGGAGAAUUAAGAUCACUGCUGCCAGGAGGGAGCAACAGGUGGUGAUGGUUGCUGGAGACUCCCUUUCUGCACGGGAUGGAGGCAUCCAACUGCCAGCUUGACCUCUGUUCUUGGGAAGCCCACUGCAUGCCAAGCCCCAGACCUGAGAUUUCACGGAAGAAUUACUGAGGCUCAUCCAGCCCUCUGACUACUACCUCAUGCUGCUUAUCUAAUGAUACUGGUCCCCCUGAGCAGAUAAAAAGUGGCUACAGGGCUCUGGGUGCAAGGGUAAGGGGGACAGGGGCUCAGGUAGUGUUCUUCUCUAUCCUAGUCAAGGGAAACAGCCCGGGUAGGAGCAGAUGCAUCCUGUCAGUUAAUGCGUGGCUGCACGGAUGGUGUCAUUGAGUCAUAGGGUUGGAAGGGACCUCAAAGGAUCAUCGGGUUGAGCUCCCUGCAUGAACAGGAAAAACAUCUGAGGUCAGAUGACCCCAGCCAGGCGGCUGUCCAGUCUUCUCUUGAAGACCUCUAGGGUAGAUAAUUGCACCACUUCUUGGGGGACCUUGUUCCAUAGUCUGGACACCCUAGUUGCGAAGAAGUUUUUCCUAAUGUUCAGCCUGAAACUAUCUUCCAGGAGUUUGUGGCUGCUGUUUCUAGUUUUCCCCCAGGGCGCCCUGGUGAACAAUUACUCCCUCAGCCUCUCCUCGUAUGGCUUGCCAUGGAAGUCCCUGAUCAUACGGGUGGCCCUUCUCUGGACCCUCUCGAGCUUUAGCACAUACUUGUUGAAGUGUGGAGCCCAGAACUGGAUGCAAUACUUCAGCUGCGGCCACACCAAUGUUGAGUAAAGCGGGAGAAUCACUUCUUUGGUUUUACUGGAGAUGCAUUGAUUGACACAUGCCAGAGUGGCCCUAGUGGCUACCGUGUCGCAUUGCCAGCUCAUAUUCAUGCUGGUGUCUAUUGUUAUUCCCAGAUCCCUUUCAUUUGUAGUGCUGGUCAGGUUAACGAUACCCAGCCUAUAGGUGUGCUGGGGGUUCUUCCUUCCUAGAUGCAGCACUUUGCAUUUGUCUACAUUGAACCUCAUCUGGUUCCAUUCUGCCCAACAUGCCAGCCUAUCUAGGUCUGCUUGUAUCUGCAACCUAUCUGCGGGUGUGUCUGCACAACCCCAUAUCUUGUCAUCUGUAAACUUGGCCAAUGGGCUUUUCACCCCCUCAUCCAGCAAGGAUUUCGUUUCUUUGACCACAAGAUGUUGUUCCAAGAAGGAUUGCUAGGCAGAAAAAGGCUCCGGACCUGAUGAAGAGAUGGAAGAGCAUCUUUGCAGACAGGCUCACUAACCUAGUGAGGAGGGCUUUAAAACUAGGUUCGGGGAGAGUGGAGACCAAAGCCUUGCAGUAUGUGGGGAAGCAGGUGACCUAGAGGAAUCAAGUGACUUGAAGGAAACAAGUCGGGCUUUAAACUAGCUUCGUCAGGGGAAGGGGCCGCCCGAGGAGGAAGGGAUGUUUCGCCAACUAGCAAGGUGACAAGAGAAACAGAAACCCAGGUAAGCAACAACAGGCACAGCAGUCCUGGGAGCAGGGUAGAGGUACAUGCACUCUCAGGAGGCCUUACAUGUCUGUACACUAAUGCAUGUAGUAUGGGGGGCAAGCAGGAGGAACUUUGCCUUCUGAUUGCAGGGAAAAAUCCAGACUUAGCGGGGCUCACAGAAACCUGGUGGGAUCCUACCCACAACUGGGUGGUGGGCAUUCAGGGAUACACACUAUAUAGAAGGGACAGGACUGGGAGGAAAGGCGGCGGCGGUGGGGGGGGGGGUCCCCCUCUAUGUCAAAGAGCAAUUCACAUCAUCAAGAAUUAGCCUUGGGGUGGAGGAAGGUCAGACAGAGGCACUAUGGGUCAAACUUCAAGGGGGACAAGGCAAAAGGGAUCUUACGGUGAGUGUCUACUAGAGACCACCCUGCCAAGGGGUUGAGAUGGACCAGGAUUUCUCAGUACAGCUUAUGGAGGCAGCUGGGUCUAGGGAUGCUGUUGUCAUGGGGGACCUAAACUACCCAGAUAUCUGCUGGGAGGAGCAGUCAGCCAGGUCUGACCAUUUGCAUAGGUUCCUGGCUGAAAUACAAGACCUCCACCUUAUCCAGGAGGUGCACAGCCCCACUAGGGGAGAUGCCUUGCUGGACCUGGUCUUGGCUACUGGGGAUGACCUGGUGAGGGGACUGCAGGUCCUUGACCACCUGGGUGACAGUGAUCGUCGCCUGCUGGAAUUCACCAUCCAGCGCAGGGUGUUGAGGGCUUCUACCAAGACUAAAGCACCUGACUUCAGAAGGGCCAACUUCAACAAAUUUAGGAGAUUAGUGGGGGAGGCAUUGAGGGCCCAAAAGGUAGAGGAGAUGGGAAUCCAUGAGGGAUGGUCGUAUCUUAAGGGGACGAUCCUCCAGGCUCAGAGUGUGACAGUCCCCGAGAGAAAGAAGUGGGGUAAGAGUGCUCUGAAACCCCCAUGGCUCAGCAAAGGCAUUCGAGAAUGCCUAAGGGCCAAAAGGGAGGUGUACACCCGGUGGAAGAGAGGGGCUAUCACCAAGGAAGAAUACUCCUCCUUGGCCCAUGAGUGCAUGAUGGCCAUUAGGAAUUCUGGCCAAGGUGGGGGUGGAGCUCAGGCUAGUGGCCAGGAUUAAGGACUACAAAAAGUCCUUCAAAUACACUGGGAGUAAGAAGUGGGCACCGGGUAACAUAGGGCUCCUGUUAGACUCAAAUGGUAAUCUUGUGGCUAUGCCAAACAAGAAAGCCGAAAUCUUUAACAAGUUCUUUGCCUCCGUUUUCUUGGACAGGGAACAGGACAGCUCUCCCACCACAGGUAGGGGCAAUCUUGAGGCUAGCACUGCCAGGCCUCGGGUCUGCGGAGAAGUAAUUAGGAAUCUUCUGGAAGGACUGGAUGUUUUCAAAUCUGCAGGCUCUGGCGCCCUCCACCCACGGGUGUUGAGGCAGCUGGCGGGGGUUAUUGCUAUGCCCCUGGCCUGGCUGUAUGAACGAUCGUGGUCCACGGGCCAGGUACCCAAGAUUAGAAACUAGCUAAUGUGGUCCCCAUCUAUAAGAAAGGGAGGAAGGAGGACCCGGGAAACUAUAGGCCCAUAAGCCUCACAUUGCUCUUGGGGAAAAUCCUUGAAAAAAAUCAUUAAGGAGCACAUCUACAAGGGCCCAGCAGGGGAGAUCAUGCCCAGGGGAAAUCAACAUGGGUUCGUUAAAGGCAGGUCCUGCCAGACCAACCUGAUGGCCUUUUAUGACCAAGUAACUAAAUCCCUGGAUGAUGGUGUCGCUGUGGACAUAGCCUUUCUGGACUUUAAGAAGGCCUUUGACACUGUCUCUCACCCCAUUCUCAUUAAUAAACUGAGUGAUUGUGUAGCAGAGAGCCCCCUUUUCCUCUUGCCUGCAGUUGCUCUCCCCUCCUUGGAUAUGUUUUUCCUCUUCUACUUUUUCUUCCUUCCUCUUUCUUUCACUUUAAGAUAAAGAAUUGUGUUUUACAAAAUGCGGACACAAAUUUUAUCUCCCCGUAUAUUUUGGUAUUUUGAUCUAUUUGUGUGCCAUGGCAUUUGUAGCUUAUAUUUUAUACUCCCCACCUUUCAACUUUCAACUAUAAAUGUGUUUAGUAACAAUGUUAACAAGGGCAGGAGUCAAACUGCCGCUUCCUUGUAUCAGGCGGGCCCCUGAAAGAGCAAGUGAAUCAGUGAUUGAAUGCGUAAUACAGUGGCAGGGGGCAAUUAACACCUAAGGAAACUGCAGAUCAACCAAUGGAAGAACUCAAUAGAAGACAAUGUAACAACCAGGACUGAUCAAGGGCUAGAAGCCCUGGUCUGAGUUAAUCAACGUCGGGGACCAACUUUUGGGAUGAAUAUCUCCAGAUCGACCGCUCCCAGAGCCCUAUUCAAAAAUCAUCAACGGACUCCCAAACCUGCACGUACAUGCGGACGACCCCUGGGGCUGACAGAUGCCAUCCAGUAGCCACCGAGGGGGAAGUCCCACGAGGGUCAACGACCCCUGGAUUGGGCAAACCUGAAAACUGGGGUCACCAAAGUCUGCCAAGGACAGAUAAAAAAAGCGGUGAAAAGUGACCCUCACCAGCGCCCUCUUGAUCUCCAACUUGACCAGCACCCGACCUGUGCAGCCAGAAGGACCAGCUGGUGACCCCCUUCUGGAGGAUAAUACCACACUGAAAGAAGCCUCAACUGGCCAUCGACGGCAGACUCCAGCGCUUGUGGGCUAGGUAUACCCAACUCUUGUAGCUUGCUACUGUGUGCGUGCGUGCGUGCAGACCAGCCCCAAGGUUUAUGAUUUAACUUCAUUACAGUGCUUCAAUCAACCUAAUAAACCAGAAUUUUAAGGA